CCUACGGGUGGCAGCAGUGGGGAAUAUUGCACAAUGGGGGAAACCCUGAUGCAGCGACGCCGCGUGAGCGAAGAAGUAUCUCGGUAUGUAAAGCUCUAUCAGCAGGGAAGAAGAUGACGGUACCUGACUAAGAAGCACCGGCUAAAUACGUGCCAGCAGCCGCGGUAAUACGUAUGGUGCAAGCGUUAUCCGGAUUUACUGGGUGUAAAGGGAGCGUAGACGGAGAAGCAAGUCUGGAGUGAAAGCCCGGGGCUCAACCCCGGGACUGCUUUGGAAACUGUUUGUCUAGAGUGCCGGAGAGGUAAGCGGAAUUCCUAGUGUAGCGGUGAAAUGCGUAGAUAUUAGGAGGAACACCAGUGGCGAAGGCGGCUUACUGGACGGUAACUGACGUUGAGGCUCGAAAGCGUGGGGAGCAAACAGGAUUAGAUACCCCUGUAGUC
rnacentral:rRNA from 1 species